rnacentral:tRNA from 1 species
CGUGGCCUAGUGGUUGAGACGUCUGCCCGGGACCCCAGGGUUCGCGGGUUCACACCCCGCCUGC